rnacentral:rRNA from 1 species
AGCUUGCUGGGGGAUUAGUGGCGAACGGGUGAGUAACACGUGAGUAACCUGCCCUUGACUCUGGGAUAAGCCUGGGAAACUGGGUCUAAUACCGGAUACGACUCCUCAUCGCAUGGUGGGGGGUGGAAAGCUUUUGUGGUUUUGGAUGGACUCGCGGCCUAUCAGCUUGUUGGUGGGGUAAUGGCCUACCAAGGCGACGACGGGUAGCCGGCCUGAGAGGGUGACCGGCCACACUGGGACUGAGACACGGCCCAGACUCCUACGGGAGGCAGCAGUGGGGAAUAUUGCACAAUGGGCGGAAGCCUGAUGCAGCGACGCCGCGUGAGGGAUGACGGCCUUCGGGUUGUAAACCUCUUUCAGUAGGGAAGAAGCGAAAGUGACGGUACCUGCAGAAGAAGCGCCGGCUAACUACGUGCCAGCAGCCGCGGUAAUACGUAGGGCGCAAGCGUUAUCCGGAAUUAUUGGGCGUAAAGAGCUCGUAGGCGGUUUGUCGCGUCUGCUGUGAAAGACCGGGGCUCAACUCCGGUUCUGCAGUGGGUACGGGCAGACUAGAGUGCAGUAGGGGAGACUGGAAUUCCUGGUGUAGCGGUGAAAUGCGCAGAUAUCAGGAGGAACACCGAUGGCGAAGGCAGGUCUCUGGGCUGUAACUGACGCUGAGGAGCGAAAGCAUGGGGAGCGAACAGGAUUAGAUACCCUGGUAGUCCAUGCCGUAAACGUUGGGCACUAGGUGUGGGGGACAUUCCACGUUUUCCGCGCCGUAGCUAACGCAUUAAGUGCCCCGCCUGGGGAGUACGGCCGCAAGGCUAAAACUCAAAGGAAUUGACGGGGGCCCGCACAAGCGGCGGAGCAUGCGGAUUAAUUCGAUGCAACGCGAAGAACCUUACCAAGGCUUGACAUGAACCGGAAAGACCUGGAAACAGGUGCCCCGCUUGCGGUCGGUUUACAGGUGGUGCAUGGUUGUCGUCAGCUCGUGUCGUGAGAUGUUGGGUUAAGUCCCGCAACGAGCGCAACCCUCGUUCUAUGUUGCCAGCGCGUUAUGGCGGGGACUCAUAGGAGACUGCCGGGGUCAACUCGGAGGAAGGUGGGGACGACGUCAAAUCAUCAUGCCCCUUAUGUCUUGGGCUUCACGCAUGCUACAAUGGCCGGUACAAAGGGUUGCGAUACUGUGAGGUGGAGCUAAUCCCAAAAAGCCGGUCUCAGUUCGGAUUGGGGUCUGCAACUCGACCCCAUGAAGUCGGAGUCGCUAGUAAUCGCAGAUCAGCAACGCUGCGGUGAAUACGUUCCCGGGCCUUGUACACACC